GCGGCCUAUCAGCUUGUUGGUGAGGUAAUGGCUCACCAAGGCGACGACGGGUAGCCGGCCUGAGAGGGCGACCGGCCACACUGGGACUGAGACACGGCCCAGACUCCUACGGGAGGCAGCAGUGGGGAAUAUUGGGCAAUGGAGGAAACUCUGACCCAGCGACGCCGCGUGCGGGAUGAAGGCCUUCGGGUUGUAAACCGCUUUCAGUAGGGAAGAAGCGAAAGUGACGGUACCUACAGAAGAAGCACCGGCUAACUAUGUGCCGGCAGCCGCGGUAAUACAUAGGGUGCAAGCGUUGUCCGGAAUUGUUGGGGCGUAAAGAGCUCGUAAGUGGUUCGAUACGUCCGGAUGUGAAAA
rnacentral:rRNA from 1 species